GACGAACGCUGGCGGCGUGCCUAAUACAUGCAAGUUGAGCGAUGAAGAUUGGUGCUUGCCCCAAUUUGAAGAGCAGCGAACGGGUGAGUAACGCGUGGGUAAUCUGCCUUUUAGCGGGGGACAACAUUUGGAAACGAAUGCUAAUACCGCAUAACAACUUUAAACAUAAGUUUUAAGUUUGAAAGAUGCAAUUGCAUCACUCAAAGAUGAUCCCGCGUUGUAUUAGCUAGUUGGUGAGGUAAAGGCUCACCAAGGCGAUGAUACAUAGCCGACCUGAGAGGGAGAAACGCCACAAUGGGACUGAGAAACGGCCCAAAAUCCUAAGGGAGGCAGCAGGAGGGAAUCUUCGGAAAUGGAGGAAAGUCUGAACGAGCAACGCCGGGGGAGUGAAGAAGGGUUUCGGAUCGGAAAACUCUGUUGGUAGAGAAGAACGAUGGUGAGAGUGGAAAGCUCAUCAAGUGACGGUAACUACACAGAAAGGGACGGCUAACUACGUG
rnacentral:rRNA from 1 species